UGUAUAAAUUCAUUGCUUUAUUUAGCUCCUGAGAGUUUACUAAAUUUUUUUCACAUCUGAGCAAGUACACAGUUUCUUAUCCUAAGAAAGCCCAGGGGCUGUAUAAUUGCGUCGUAUUCUUUUUUCUUUCUUUUCUUUCUUUUUUUUUUUUUUUGACACAGUCUUGCUCUAUCGUCCAGGCUGGAGUGCAGUGGCAUGAUCUUGGCUCACUGCAACCUCCGCCUCCUGGGUUCAAGCGAUUAUCCUGCCUCAGCCUCCCGAGUAGCUGAAAUUACAGGCAUGCACCACCACACCCAGCUAAUUUUUGUAUUUUUAGUACAAAUGGGCUUUCACUAUGUUGGCCAGGCUGGUCUCGACCUCCCAACCUCAGGUGAUCCACCUGCCUUGGCCUCCCAAAGAGUUGGGGGAUUACAGGCGCGAGCCACCGUGCCUGGCUGCUAUUCUUGAAGACUAUCCCCAGGUGACAAUCCCUGCAGUGUCAUUCUACUGCAGCAAGAUUAAAGCCAAUCUAAUAGCUGGCAAAUUUGCUGUGAAAACAUAUCACCUUCUGUUACUUGCUGCCCUAAGGAAAAUGUGCAAUAGAAGAAUCUUUCAGAACACCAGUUCAUUUUUUUUUAAAAAACACAAAGUCACAUGAAACAAAGCACACUUUUUUACAUAUAUGAAAGGAAGCAUUCACAGGAUUUUCCAUACUCAGUAAUGAAUAAGUACCCCAAGAACUGUAUUUACUUCUGUGAAUCUUUGUUGCGUGAUAUUUUACUGAAGUCCAAGUGAGCCUGGGUGGUCCUGCAAAGAGUAUUCACACAGAGAUAUAUUGUAUUACUUAUGCUAUUAAUAAAUUGGCUUUAUUAGCCUUAUCACUGACUUAAUUUUUGAAAGAAAAACUCAAACUAAAUCAAUAACCUGAGUAUUAUUUCCCAAAUUGAUGACAUUUUCAUUUGGGUUUUAAUUCAGCAAAUUCCCCUCCUCAAAAGAGGGGAAUGCUGUCACUUCCCCAGCCAACAUACAGGUGACAUUGGAAACGCUGCUAAAUGCCACUGUGCCUUAGCUUCUCCUAUGUAUGCAAGGGGUCACUGCCCAGGUAAUGACUCUGAGGGGCUGGCAAUACAGCAUAAGAAAGUCACUCCAAAUUCUGUUAAGCAAGGUUUUCCGCAGGCAGCCGUCAGUAUCACAGCCUCCAGUACUAUAAUCAUUGUUAAAGCAUUUUAAAAUAGACAAGACACGCCAUGAAGAAAGUGCAUCCAGACGGUUGAACUGGGCUGCUGGUUAUGAUAGCUCCAGGGCGCCCCGGGGGGUCGCAGGUGAAAUCCUCCAGGUCCAUCUCCCCAGGCAGAGGUGAGCCUGCAAUCCAGCUUGCGCUGCCCUUCCAGGGCGUCCCCGGGGCCUCUGGUCUUCAGGGCUGGGCUGAGCCCUGGGCUGCUCAGGACCAAAGCUGAGCUGUUUUUCUUUCAAACUAAACUAUGAACUCUCUCUGCUGGAGAAAGAGACAGAAAGGACAGAGAAAGAGACACGCCGACAGAGCCAGAGUGACACAGGGGCACGCAGACAGGGAGACGAGGAUGGCGAAGCAGGCUACCAGGCAGGUCCUCUCCUCAGUAAAAGCCCUCCGCAUCUGGGAAAGGGAAGAUGUCCCUGGAUCUGGGUCCUUGGACCCACACAGGGUUGGUAAAAGGGCAGCAAAUCGCUACUGUCACUGCUCUGAGCAAAGAAACCAGGGAAAGGCCAGUUCGGGAAAAACAGGCCCUUUCCAUCUGACGUGAAGCCCCAGGAAGGGCUGCAGCCCAGCACCGGCAGGACGGCUGGGGACCUGGCUUCUCUCUCUCUCUCUCUCUCGUUCCUUAAAUUUUUAUUUGAGAAUUUUAAAGAAAGGGACCUGGAAAGCUAUUUUGUUGGGCUAGAGGGGCCGUGGGCCUUCCCAGCGCGGAGGAAGGAGGGCGGUCAGGCCGGGUGGGGCUGGGUGCGGUGGCUCUGCAGAACCUUUAGGCACCGAACUGAAGCCGCGGGUCCGGUGCGCGGACACUGCGCAGGGCGCUGCUACCGACUCACAUGCAUGCGAGGGCCCGCUCCUAGGCGUUCUGCCUUCCUGGACGGAUUGUUGGUAAAACGUCCCCUAGAACGGCCGGAGCCAGGGCCCUCGGACAGGGGCGCGAAGGGCCCGCUCUUUGCCGUCCUCGGGUUUCCCAACGCGGUGGUCGUGGCCCGCGGGCCCCACCUCGCGGCCCGCCUGGCCGGCCGGAGGAGCAGCGGAGGCCGAGCACUCCCCGGUCUCGGGUUCAACUUCAAUAAAAGGGCCCAGCCCGCCCUUGAUCACGCGGCUUGCCUGACAGCCCGGCUCAGGCCCGGGCCUAAUUGAGCCCGGGUCACCUGGGAAUAGGUUCAAAGGCAUCAAAGCCGUAAAAACCACCUCCAGGCCCAGAGCCAGAGCGGCCUGGCGAACAAAGAGCCCCCCAACCACUUCAAACGCGCUCGCGCUCGCCGUCCAGAUGGCCCGGGGCCGGGGUCCGUGGUGUCGCUCACCGAGGCCGGGCCCCACACUCCAGCCACCCUGAGCCUCCUGCUCGGAGCUGCCCGCGGGCUGCCAGCGCAGCGGAGGCUGGGCCCGGGGCAGCCUCGUGCAGCUCCCGGAGCGCCCUCCGUCCUCUGCUGACCCGCGAAGCGAAGGCGGAGCGCAGAGGCUGGGGCCGUACAAGGCGGGCCGGCAGGCGCCCCAACCCGCGCCCAGCAACCCGGGUAGGGCCAGGCAGGCGGGCGCGGCGGGUACCGGGCGCUCCCGCAGAGGCUCGCUGUGGCGUUGUUUUAAAGCUGUUAGAAGGAAGGUUCGGGAAGGGCGUCGGGGCCGGGGCUCCCCAGCAAGCCAGGGUAAGAAAUGGUCCCCGACACGCACGCUGGCCGAAGGGUGGCAUCUCCACGGAUCUUGGCGGCAUGUCCUUGGGCACGGGCGUCUCCAGGGGGCCCCGACUGUCCUUACACUGGCGGUCCGGACACCGAGACCCCUGCCCGCGCAGCUCCCCAGACCCCAGGCCUAAGCUUGCGGGCCGCGGUGCAGACUAGCUGUGCGCCCGGGGGCGGCCAAGACCCACACAGGUCGAGGAGGCUCCUGGCUGCGUCCUCAUCUUCUGGGAGCGCAUCUGGGACUGGACUCGCCUCUCUAGCCCCUCACGCCCAGAGAGAGAACCCCCCAAAGCCCAGUGGGGGCCGAUCUCUACGUUGAGGCGUAGACAAAGCCAGGCUUGGCCGGGCCUAGGGCUCGGGGCGGCCUGAGAGUGCCCUGCGUUCGGGGUGGGGGCGCGGGCGGCGGGCGAGGACCCGGCCCCCGGGAUGCCCUCCGCGCCGGGGCCGAAGGGGGAGGCAAAACUGAAAGUGCCGCGCCGGGGGGCGGGGGCGGCCGGCGAAGGCCCCAGAACUUGUCCUGCCCCCGGCCACCGCGGCCAAUCAGCGCGCCGCCCUAGCUCCUGACAACUAUUUAGCAACCCAGCCCAGCUAGAGUUUCCAAAAAAGUUAGAAUAACUUCCUCUCCCGGAGACCUCGGUUUUGCACAAGCCGGCCUUGAAAUCAGAGCCUUUCCAGCAACUCCGAGAGCGUGUGCUCGGCGACCGCGGGCUUGGCCAGCGGCGCGCGCUCGGCGCCCCGGCGCCCCCAGCCCCACGCGCGCCGGGCGGGCGCCAUGGAGGAGGGCUCCAGCUCGCCCGUGUCCCCCGUGGACAGCCUGGGCACCAGCGAGGAGGAGCUCGAGAGGCAGCCCAAGCGCUUCGGCCGGAAGCGGCGCUACAGCAAGAAGUCGAGCGAAGAUGGCAGCCCGACCCCGGGCAAGCGCGGCAAGAAGGGCAGCCCCAGCGCGCAGUCCUUCGAGGAGCUGCAGAGCCAGCGCAUCCUGGCCAACGUGCGCGAGCGCCAGCGCACCCAGUCGCUCAACGAGGCCUUCGCGGCGCUGCGCAAGAUCAUCCCCACGCUGCCCUCUGACAAGCUGAGCAAGAUCCAGACGCUCAAGCUGGCCGCCAGGUACAUAGACUUCCUCUACCAGGUCCUGCAGAGCGACGAGAUGGACAAUAAGAUGACCAGCUGCAGCUACGUGGCCCACGAGCGCCUCAGCUACGCCUUCUCCGUGUGGCGCAUGGAGGGCGCGUGGUCCAUGUCCGCCUCCCACUAGCGCCGCGCCACCCACCUCCGGACCGGCGCGCCAGGGUAGGUGCUGCGCGCGCGACGGGCGCCCUCCGCUGCGGGGGGCGGGCGGCAGGGGCGCAGGGGCAUUGGGGCCUGCUCGUGUCUCCUCGGCGAGGCCCCGCGGGCCGCGGGGGCUUGGAUGCCGUGCGCUUUUCCUCUUAGCAAGGAAGGCGGGCGGGCGGGACGCUCACAGUCCCAGGGACACCCCUGAGUGCAGACUUCCACGCGAGGGUGUCAGUUGGGAACCGGCGGACCGGUGACUCCCCCGGCGGGUUCUGAAGAUACUUAGACAGAUGGUCGCAGUUUUCAUUCUCGGUGGUGUGUGGGUGUCCGUGGUUGGCGGUGGAAGGAGCGAGCAUCAGAAAAACCUCCUGGGGCCGGCUGGGGACUGGGAUAUGAGGACCAGCUGCCCUUUGCGUCCGCCGCAGCGCAGGCCGCCCGCGAAGCUGCCCGAGCCGGGUGUUGCCGGGCGAAUGGCUUCGCUUUCUUCCUGGGCAAGGGUAGAGCGCGUCCGUCGGGCGGACACUCAGAUCUACCCAGCUGCUCGCGCCUGGGGUCCCCGGCCGUCGGCGCCCUGGCCUGCCCAGUGGGCGUAGAGGUGCGGGCCUGCGGCUCCAGGGUUUGCCUGGGGAGGACGGGAGGAAACUGCCCUGCGCUUCGGGGCCAGAGCAGCCACAGGGCCGGGUGUGCCCGAGAAGGGCCCUGGGCCGAGAGCGCAGAGCCUGGAGCGCUGAGGCAGGCGGGUCCGACGCAGCCGCGCGGAGCCCCAGGGCGCCCGCAGGCAGGUGGAGCUGACCUAGGAACUGGGAGCCCUGAGUCCCAACCUUGACCCUGGAGUACCCGGGAGGGGCCCCGCCCAUCCAGCCCCGCAGGGAUGGGCGAGGGGUCCAGGCUGGGAAACGGGUCUGGGGGACAGGGAGGCUGUGCGCGCCGGGCCCUGCGCGAGGAGAAGGCUCGGGGGACACAGCUGCCAGGAGCACUCCAAGUUCUGGUUUCCUCUGGAAGAGCGAUUAGGGCGUCCUGCACCGGGUCCUUUUCACCAGACACCUUCCAAGUCCCUUUAGACAAGCUCGAGCCACGGAGGCGCCGUCCUUAGGCUCUGUGAGCAGGCGAGCCCCUCUCUCAUCCGCCAUCCAGGGCCAUGGAGGGGCACAGAGUUCUUUUUGCUGGGGCCGAGUUAAAAAUCCUUCCCCCUUAGUAUGUUUUAGUUCCUCGCACAUCUUGCGAUGUUUUUAUAAAAGACUCUACUUCACACAGAAGGAAUUUAGAUUAAUCAAGAGCACCCGGCCGCCUAUUCUCCCAAACAUAUCUAUUUCUUUUUUUAUGUGGUUCUAUAAUAUCUGCGAAUGUUGUUGCUGAGGCCACGAAAAGCUGAUCCAGCACAGCAUUUCUAAGAAGCAUUAAUUAUAUGCAUCAGCAAAGAAUCUCUAGACAUUUCAGUACAUUGUAAGUGAUUUUAAUGUUUGAUGUGGGAUGUUUUCACGUAUGUGAAGAAAACUGUCAAGACUAACAGCAACAGCAGCACAAAGCCUAAAUUGUCCUCUGAAAGGAAGAGAAACGCAAGAGAUGGUGGAGUGCGGGUGCUGCCGAUAUCUAUCCUGCCUUUCUUCUUUGGCCUGGUAUUUAAAAGCACAAUUAGACAAUAAAUCAGGUGUCUUUGUCCAGUCAGUUGGAUUCAUCUAAUAGAAAAAUCUCAAAAGGAUUUUUUUAGUAUUCUCAUUAAAUGCCUGAGUCUUCGGAGCAGGGUCCCAGACACCUGGCUUGGAGGGUGGGGGAAGGUGACCAUUACUUAUCAGACAUUUGUCCUGUUCCCUGCUGUGUGGUUAAAGAAAACAUCUUCUCUAACUUCUGCAUAGUGUGCACAGAUUUUCAGUAGAUUUCCUCACUCAACAAACUUUUUUUUUUCUGAGAACUUUUAGCUACUUUGAAGAAAUUGCAUGACCCCUUCACCAUCUAAUAUAUGUGAGCCUUUUCCUCCCUCCUGAAAAUUUACUUCUCAUAGGUGUUUGUUAACUGCUGUAUUCAGGAUGCUAGAAAAUCAGUUCUUCGUGGAGAAGAACAGAAAUGCAGAAUCCCAAUGGAGCUUUUGCUUGCCUAGAAGAAGUAGAAUGAAAGGCUGAGCUCCCUGGAAUAUAAGCAAUGUUUGGUUACAAAAUACCCAUCAAUAAGAUCUGAUGUAGGGAUUUGACCUGUUAAUGUGGGUCUUUCCCCUUAAAUAUCAGCAGUCCUUUCGGCCUUGCAUCAGGGAAGUCUUGCUACUCAUCUUGCUGGAGAGGGAAUUCCUCAGACUUCAGUGGCUCUUUGAGGCCAUUUGAGAUAGAAUACUUCACUGAGGUUUCCUGAAACUCAUAUUUUCAUACAGAUCUUGAGCUGAACCAUGUUCUUGUCAUCCUUGCUUCACUCUGUUCUGGGUAGACGGCACAGAUGCCGGAUUCCUUUUGCCUGGCAAAAAAAUUUAAAAAAAGAAAAAAAAACACCACACACAUAAAGUAAACUCUUUCUGAGCAGAGCACUAUAACUCAUAACUUUAGUUUAAAUCUGGGCUUUAAAAAAAACAAAUAUUUUAAUAAGCCAAUUUUAAAGGCUGAACUUUUAUGACGGUUUUUAAGCUUAGUAUUUAUAUUAAUCUAUUCUCACUGGUGUCUUUAAAAACCCUGUGAAUGCAUGCUGGAAUGUCUGUUUAUGUUUGUGUCUUUUCCUGGGAAAGGAUAAAUGUGCUGCAAAAAGCAAACCAAAUACAGAACUCUCCGCUAGCAGAGAGUUCACAAAUGAGGCAAUAAAAUUCAAAGAAGAGAUGAAUAAGUUACUGUAGCCAAGGACUGGAAAACCAUAAAGGAGAAACAGAAUCUAAGAGAUACAGACAUGGAUGCUUUCAAACGUAAAGGCAAGAUGAAACACUACAAACAGAAACUGAUUAAAAAGAUAUUCCACAUGGUCACCUGAGUCUACACGUGAUAAAAUUGCAUAGCACUAAACACACACACACACACGCACAUGCACGUGCACACACAUGUACACACGAGUGUAUGUAAAACUGGUGAAAUCUGAAUGAGGUCUGGGGACGAUAUUGACGCCAGUUUCCUGAUUAUGAUAAUUGCAAGAUGUCAUCACUGGGAGAAGGGAGUGAAGAUAUGAGAAUCUCUGUAUAAUAUUUCUUGCAACCUCAUGUGAAUCUAUAAUUAUCUCAAAAUUAAAAUAAAAAAGAUAUUCUACAAAAGUAUUAAAUCUAUAUAUUUAGAUAAGCAAAUUAUCUAAGAAAUUACUACUAAGAUUUAUCUCAGAGUAAUAAACUAAAAAUGUGACUUGAGCAAAACUCCACAUAUUUUUUCUGACGCCAUUUGAGGAAUCUCAAUAUAUUUCCAAUAUAUAACUAAUUAGAAGUGGUUCCCUGUAAGUCUUAAAUAAAGAAUAGUAUCCCAGAAAUAUGAAAGGUGAAAUACCAAUUAUAAUAGCAAUACAUUUAUUCCUAUACUAAUAAAGAAAAUAUUUUACACAAAAUUUUGGGAAAUAUCUACCUUAAACUGAUACCUGUGUUAUAUUUGCUUUUUAAGAUACUAAUUUUAUAUUAACUUUCAUUAAGCAUACACACACAAUUCUAAAGCCAAUGAUUUAUAAAAAUUAUUCGCCAAGAAGUAUAGAGAUUGAAGUUUUAGUAUUUGGAGCCAUAAGCAGUGAGAGGGAGAGGAUAUAGCAGAGGAGGGAGGGAGAGAGAGAGAGAGAGAGAGGGAGAGAGGGAGAGAUGGAGAGAGAGAAGGAGAGAGGGAGAGAUGGAGAGAGAGAGAGAGAGAGAGAGAGAGAGAGAAACUCAAACCCUAAGCCCAGUUAUAGUUAUUUUUAAUGAAUAAUUGUUUAGAAACAUAUUUUCUGUUUUUGUUUGGUAGUAACCCUUUGGAUGAGAUUGAGUGAUAUUAAACUAUGCCUUACCUGAAUGCUGAUUUGGAAAUGAGGGCGGUAGCAUUAACAAGGUGAAUUUUAAGCUCUUGUAAACUGAGGCACAGUGUGAUUUCUCUUCAGCGAUUAUUAAUGGUUGUCACUUCGAAAAGAGACUUGGAUCUGAAAUUGGAAAAGCCAACACAUAACUUGAUUCCAGCAUGAGGAAAAUGUUUUAGUGCUUAGUUAAAAAUAGAGUCAUUUUGAACCCAAACGGUAUCUGACGUGCUUCAGAUAUCUGGGCUAUUUCAUCCUCAACUGUGGUGUGAUAAUAUGAUGAUCCUGUGGUGAUGAAGAUGAGAGAGCGCGGCUGCGUGAGCUGAGUGCAGUGUCUGCUUGUCUACCGGGGCUGUCCCUCACUGAGCGGUUUUCUAUCCUAAUAUUGUUUUCCUCUGUUAUUUGACCAGGGAAAGAUUCAGAUGACCCAGCUUCUGUCGAAGCCUCAUGGAGAACUAUAGUUUUACUUCUCAGACCCGAAGAGCAGUGCCUUUAAACUUGGACACAUCUCUCCUUUCUUUAGUUCAGAUUUUCCCUUCACUGAAAUGAAAGACAGGGUUGAACUCAGAAGAGCUUUCGGUUAUCACAUUCGAUUAUCCUGGAAAAUACUCCUGUCUUUUUAGUUCACAUUCUGCCUUAAAAAAAUAGCCAUCAGUAUCUUCUGGGAGGAAAUGGUAAAUUUUGUUAUGUGGUCUGGCAUUAGAGUCCUAAUUCUCACUGUCUAAUUUGACAGACGGUUCACCUCUGUGUCUCUGGAUGUGCAGGUCUGGUGUGCGACUGACGGGAAAGAUUUGGGCAAACCCCUUGAUUUGUAUUAACCCUUCGACCUUGACUAAACAUCAGACCCCACCCUGUGGCUGAGGUCUGUGGUGUGGUCACAGGCAGAGUCUUUCCGGAGCACCAGGCAGAGCAGCUCCCCCCAGGAGGGGUUAGGGCAACUUUUUGGCCUUUUGCUGUGAGAGGGGAGGGUUAGAGAUCCUUUUGCUCUCUUCCCCGUGGAGAAAAAAAUGUUGAAACUUUCGUCGUUACUACUGUUUUUCUGUCGCUAUCCAGACAAAAUGCCACCCUAGCAUUUCUGUUAAAUCUCUGUAAGUAGAUGCCCCUGCUGAAGGGUGGAGAGAUUUUGGCCCGCUUCCGAGGCAGGGGCUCCAUGAGGGACAGCUUGGAGCAUGAACAACCUCCUAAAGGAAAGCACAGGCCAGUCAUGUACAAUCUCGGGCUCUGCUGCCACGGCAGCUUUCUUUGUCUGUUCUACUUUGAAUUAGCAUAUUCUGUAUGUGAAAAUGCAAGCAGGCAGCGUUUUCUUUGAAUCACGAGAUCUACAAGUACCGUUUCCUUUCCUUCAUCUCUGCUCUUUGAGUGGUUCGUGUGGCCGGUGCUCAGAGGGCUCGGAGUGGCAAGCUGGCUGCCUGCGUGGACUCCCUGGACCUGCGACUUGUCCUUUACUUCCACAACUCAGACUUUUAGCUCGGCGGAAGAGUGCACAGGCGCAGCGCAAGCUAGCUAGCCUGCAGGGUUGGCAAAACCUAUACCGACUGGGUCCCUUCCGGAAAGUUUGUGUGAACUUUAAAUCUCAGUCUCAGGGAGACUGUUUUGUCUUGAUACAUAACAGAAUAAGGCAGUUAUCAUUUCUUUGGGAAAUGCCUAAAAUACCGCAAAUUGGAAGGGAAGGGAAAGGAAGGAGGAGAAGGCAUACUCCUCUUUCUCAAAUCGGGCAUCUACACGUCUCUGUUCACAUCAUUGACACCAAUGGGCGAACAGUGUCUUCAUUGAGGAUUAAUUUUCCUGAAAUCAAAUAAUCCCAAAUUGCAUACUACAUAUAUACUGGUUUCUAACUAGUCAACAUCUUCAACAUAUGCCCAGCCGCCUGGCUUUCCUCUCGUUCAUGAUAAUCUGCAUGCGUAGAUGGGAAGCUAGGAGAGAAAGAUGUGAUCAUUUCGCAUUCCUUGUUUUCUGUCUGGUGAACAUUUCUUCUCCAGCAAGUGUUUCCUACCGCUUCCCCCAAACCUGCAUAUACUCUUCUAUAUUCUUUAGUUGAAACAGCAUCUUUUAAAAACAUGAUUAACUGAAGUCCGCUUGAGGUUUCACUUUAUAAAAAAGUAAUAGAGGAAGAACGAGAAGCCCACCAUCAGGUCCCGUGAUAGCUCAGUCACACGUGGAAAUACAGACUGUAAAUACAGAAUGGCCGAGGACCCUCUGAGCAAAGGUCAUCUAGGGGCUCCCGAAGCCUCGUGCGGCCCAUAGAUGUGUGCUCAGCACCCCCGCCUCAGUGUGUGCUUGGCGACUCCCUCUCCUUCGUGGGCUCAUGUUACUAUUUUCUAAAAGUAUUGUUUCACUGAUACCAGAACAGGAGUGCUCCAAACAGAUAUCUGUACCCUAAGAAUCCCAGGGUGCCCUGUUUUUGUUGAUUUCUCUGGUGCAGAAGGACCUGUUUCCACGAUCCCCAAACUCCCUGGGGGCCGUGCGGUGGCUGUGGCAGAGGGGGUGCAUCCAGGACUGGCGUUUUAUGGCCCCCGAGGUAGGGUCAGGAGAGAGCUUAUCUUGAGGUCCCGUCUUGUGUGACUGCGAAGGUGUUAAUAGGCAGGGUCCAGGUGGCCCAUGCGAGCUGGCAGCAUUGGAAGGGUAGAAUUAAUUGAAGGGCAUUUUACUGGGUGUUAAAUUAUUGCUAAUUCCAAAACUUUCUUUCAGACUAUUUUUUUCUGAGAAUAGAGAUUUCCUUCUAAUUAAACAACAGGCAAAAGAUGAGCACGGUUACUCACCUCUCUGCUCGUUUCAGUGUUGCUGUAUGUCAUCUCCUUUCUUGUUUUACUACAGUUCACAAGUGAAUAAUAUCAUGUAAUUUCAGUGUGGAACAAUGUAAUUUCCAUGUGCGUCCCCAGCAACCCUGUGUACAUUAGUCUAUCAUUUAUAAUUUAUAACAUGGAAAAGUUUUUUUUUUAUGAAGGACAAAAUAAAAGAGAAGGUUAGGAUGUGAAUAGGUCAAGUGAUAUAUGAAGAAUUUCACAAGGGAUCAGGGCUACGGAAGGGACUCAGGUCUCUUAAGAAUAGGUCCCAUUCUGUAUUUAUCUUCAGGAUUGUGUUGGGGCCGUGUGCCUCUCUCUGCUGCUGGCCAUGGGAGACCCGGCACCUCUUCCUCAGUGUCCCUCAGAGACAUAGAAGACAGCAGUUUCUCAGAAAAAGCACCCUUCCUGCCGUUCUCAGAAAAACAACACUGUGAAAAUCCAGCAGGGCCCCUCCACACUGCUGCAAUAGUGCCACGAGGGAGGCCGCUGCAGACACAGUCACUUGAAGAGGACCUCAGGUGCCUUCCCUUCCUGUUUGGUCCCAGGCAUCAACACUGCCCAGCAAAGUGUGUCCAAGAAGCCCCAGAGGGGGCCGUGUCUCUGAGGGGCCUGUGACAAUCGCAGGUGAUUCAGAUGCCAGAGAAAGCAGAGGCCCCCAGAGGAAGGUGGUCAGGGGGCCAUCUGCUGUGCCUGGGGUCAAGGACCACUGGAGGGAGCUUGGGUUGGCCUGAGACUGUUCAGGGGAGGGGCACCAUGGGCAUGGUGCCCCUGCAUGACGGGCGGGCCCUCCCAUGAGAGAGGAAGAGGGGAGCAAGAGGAAGGACGCUGCUGGCUGUUUGCAAGUAGCUGUCCCACCACCCUGGCACUUCCCUGGUCCCUGAGGCUGGACGGGCCUUGGAGCCCAUCUUCGCUAAGGCCCAAGUCACCUAUCAGCUCGUGCUGAUGAAUGUCUGAGCAUGAGCCCAGCACGGCUCAGCAUUUGCCAAGGUUAAGGAAAGGAAGUGGUAACUCAGCAUUGAUUUCCUCCCCCUGGAUUUAAUAGCGAUAGAUCUAAACCUGCAGUCAGAUAUCACUUUGAAAGCCUUGGCUCAUCUAAAGACAGCUUCCAAGAGACGAUCAGGCCAGGCCACUGCUGCGGUUUGCAGAGGAAGCAGGACCAGCCCUGUCUUUGCUGAAAGAAGCCAAACGACCAUCUUGUCUGUCUCGUAAAGCAUCCUUCUGCUUGAAUAGCAGAGCUCUUUGAACGGCAAUAAAAUAUUACAUUGAGGCUGGGCGCAGUGGCUCAUGCCUGUCAUCCCAGCAUUUUGGGAGGCCAAGGUGGGUGGAUUACCUGAGGCCAGGAGUUCGAGACCAGCCUGACCAACAUAGUGAAACUCCAUCUCUACUAAAAAUACAAAAAUUAGCCACGUGUGGUGGCACACGGCUGUAAUCCCAGCUACUCAAGAGGUUGAGGCAGGAGAAUCACUUGAACCCAGGAGGCAGAGGUUGCAGUGAGCUGAGAUCGCGCCACUGCACUCCAGCCUGAGCGACAAAGCGAGAUUUCAUCUCAAAACAAACAAACAAACAACAAGCAAACCAACACCAUUACAUUGGGCAGAUGACAGACUUUGUCCUCCCGGCUGGUUCCUCCAAAGCCAACUGGCCUGGGGGUUCUCUGUACCAGGCUCUUGGACAAUCAGCUUGUGUUGUACUGUUUCCUGAAAGUUGCAAAUAUUGUUGAAUGUUAAUUACAUAAUUUCACUUUUUCUAACCAGAAAGAGGAAAAGAGGAAGUGGGGAGGCAGAAAGUGAAGCUGCUGUGCAUUUCUGCCUCCCUGGGCGCAUCCACCGGGCUUUCUCCUACUUGGUUCAUCACAAUGUGAAACCAUAAUUAACUAAUUCUGAGAACUUUUAAAUGCUUGUGACUAUACAUGAUCGGUGUGACUCUCUACAACAGAUUUUGCAAUUAAUUGAAGUCACUGUUUCUGGAAUAAGUCAUAUGGGAUUCUUCCCUUUAGUAAGCUUUUUUGAGGUGGUAUUUUUCUAAUUUGGGAAAUUUUAAUUAGGCAGAAACCAAAGGCUGUUGACUUUGCGAGAGGCAAGCUAGCUCCCCAAGUGACUCUCUUGGUCAGAACCCAUUGUCUUGUGUCUGGGGGAUCCACGGUUCAGAAUAAGACUUGACUGAAGUUAAGUCUUGACUCAAGUUAAGCAGUGGAGAACACUUUUCUGCCCUCAGCCUUGCAGUUUCCCAUGUGGUCCGAGGCAAGUCAUGGCCUCUCUGGGCCUCAGUUUCCCCGUCUGUAAAAUAAUGGACUAAGUUUCUUAUAGCCCUCUGGCUACUAGAAUUCUAAGAGCCAAUAUAACCCUGCAAUUCCACUGCUAGGUAUAUACCCCAAAACACUGAAAACAGUUUUGUUCAAACAAAAACUUGUACAUGAAUGUUCAUAGCAACAUUAUUCACAAUAGUCAAAAGACGGAAACAGCAAAGUGUCCAUGAACUGAGGAUCAGUAAAACGUAGCCCAUUCGUACAAUGGAAUGUAAUUCAGCCAUAAAAACAAAUGAGGUUGGGCACAGUGGCUCACGCCUGUAAUCUCAGCACUUUGGGAGGCUGAGGCGGGUGGAUCACCUGAGGUCAGGAGUUCAAGACCAGCCUGGCCAACAUGGUGAAACCUCAUCUCUACUAAAAAUACAAAAAUUAGCCGGGUGUGGUGGCGGGCGCUUAUAGUUCCAGCUACUCGGGAGGCUGAGUCAGGAGAAUCGCUUGAACCUGGGAGGCAGAGGUUGAAGUGAGCCGAGAUUGCACCACUGCACUCCAGCCUAGGCAACAAGAGCGACACUCCGUCUCAAAAAAAAAAAAAAAAAGUGUAAUAUGUGCUACAGCAUCGAUGAACCUUGAAAACAUUAUGCUAAGCUCAAGAAGCCAGAUGACUACAUAUUGUGAUAUUUGGGAUUUCAUUUAUAUGAAAUGUCCCAAAUAAGCAAAUCCAUACAGGCAGAAAGGAGACUGGAGGCUUCUCGGGCUUCAUGGGAGGGGGUGUCGGGGGUGAGUGCUGAACAGGUGUGGAAUUUCUGUUUGGAAUAAUACAAAACGCUCCAGAACUAGGUAGUGAUGAUGCCUUCACAACAAGGUGUAUGCACUAAAUUCCACUAUGCUUUAAAAGCUCAAAUGAUAAAUUUUAUAUUGUAUGUAUCUUACUACUAUCACCAAAAAAAAAAAAAAUCCUACUUCCCAGACCAUGUGCAUCUCUGGUAACUGAGGUGUUCAGUUGGGGGUGGAGGGGCUAAGGGGCUAAGCGUUCACCCAUCCCUCACUUUUCAGAGAUGUUAUCCAGUUUAUCCUCCUGCUUCAGCACUUAUCCAACUCUUCUAGUUGUGCCUAAGAGCAUUUUCGACAUCUAGUUCCUAAUGUGUUUAUUCACACACACACAUGCAUGCACGCACACGUGUGUCAAACAAUUCUGAGGCACACUGUUUCUUUUGCCUGCCCUCUGCUUUUUGUGACAUGUUGAGUACACCUCUUGAAGCCUCUCCACAGUAGACUGAGUUCUCACCCUCUGGGGGCCGAGGCAGAGAGGGAUUCACGCUAAGCCUCCAUGCUGCUUGCAGUCAGCCUCUAGAUGAGAGCCAGGAGCAUUUGCCAUAUCUGUAGUGGGGGAGUCUGGUACCUGAUGGGAAGACACACAAGGGUGGCCCAUGAGUGCACACCUCUCGCCUCCAUCAGCAGGCUGUCCACAGCCCAGGGCUCGUCUGCCCGCUCGGUGGACCGCUUCAGGCUGGUUCUGGGCUCAGAGGCCCUCAAGGGGUUGGUGCCACCUCCAGAGUCAUGGGAUUCCUGCUCUUCGUGUGUGCAGGUGCUGCUCCCAGAAGACAGGGAGACACCUGGAGACAUCAGGAGGGUGGCACUAACUCGUUCAGCACCAGUUGUGUGUUUUCCUUCGGUUGCUCAUUUUUCUUUUCUUCCUCCCUGAUCUGUGCACCCUUUACAUGCUCCUCAGCCACCUGUGUUUGAGACACUGUCAAAACCGCCCACCCAAGAGGGAUGGGCCAGAGAGCUGCUCUGAGUGCUCCCUCAGCCAUGACCCCAUCCUGUUUCUUUUUAAGACAUCAUCACCUUUGUGGCAUUAUUCAGCCAGAUUUUGAGACACUGAUAGAAGCCCCAGAGAUGGUGUUGGGCUCCAGGAUUGUUUGAAUUUUCAGAAUCCAAACUGAGGGAUCAGGAGAACUUGGAGCAAAUCCCAAAGGAUCUCACCAAGGGUUGAGUUGCCAAAAGCAGACAAAAACUGUUCCGGGCCAGGCGCAGUGGCUCACGCCUGUAAUCCCAGCACUUUGGGAGGCCGAGGCGGGUGGAUCACCUGAGGUCAGGAGUUUGAAACCAGCCUGGCCAACAUGGCGAAACCCCGGUUCUACCAAAAAUACAAAAAUUAGCCGGACGAGGUGGUGGGCACCUGUAAUCCCAGCUACUCGGGAGGCUGAGGCAGGAGAAUCGCUUGAACCUGGGAGGUGGAGGUUGCAGUGAGCCGACAUCGCGCCACUGCCCUCCAGCCUGGGUGACAGAGCAAGACUCCACCUCAAAACAAACAAACAAACAAAAAACUGUUCUGUGUGAUGCUGCUGUUCCCCCAUUCCCAGUCCCAUUGCUGAGCAAAGAGGAAGCCACCAGGGAGGAGGUGCAAAGGGAAAGAGAUUCCCAAAAGCUGCCAAGAGAGAGGACUCCAGAUGGAGAUGGGAGGACUGGCCGCCGGGGCCCUGGCCUCUUCCUUAGUUAAGUUGUGCAGUCGGCUUGACAGGAACAUGGGUCACCCUCAAGCCAGACACAUCUUGGUCUCAUGGCCCCCAUCAGUCACCGCCGCAGGGGUUCUUCCCACAGCUGCCGAGGCGCAGAGCCCAGCUGCUUUGAUUCAUGAGCACGAUAUUCACAUUCGUAGCACAGCACACUUGCUUUUCCUGGGGGAUGCUCUGCUCUCCUUUCCGGCCACUUCUGCUUCGUGGUAACUAAAUUGGAGGCUCUACCAUGUCCAGCCUGUGCUCUGUAUGCCUGGGGGGACACUGGAGCCAGCGCCCAGUGAGUGUAGGGUAACUAGAAAGGGCACCUCCAUCACUGAUUUUCCAACUGACUUUCAGAGACACCAUCUGGAUGCUCUGAGGCAAGUCGGCACCCUUAGGCGCCCGGUGGGGGUAGUGUUCCGCCCUUGUCUCCUCCACUCCUCCUCCCUAUCUCUAUCUCACUAUCCCUGAAGGUGAGACCGUGGUGUCAGAGAAUGCACUGAGUCAGCGUCCCUUUUAGCACACCUGCCACCACCUGACUAACAGCAAAGCCAGGCUUCCUGGUGAAUCCCGUUACAGCCGUCCCGUUUAUCCAUGGUUUCGCUUUUCGAAGUUUCAAUUACAGACAGUCAACCACAGUCCAAAGUUAUUAAAUGGAAAAUUCCAGAAGAAAAAUUGAUACAUUUUAAAUUGCACACCAUUCUGAGUAUCUUGAUGAAAUCUCGAGCUGUCCCGCUCCAUCCCCCCAGUCUCUGGGUCAUCAGACAGAAAACACAUACAGUAUAUAUAGGGUUCCGUACCAUCCUUGGGAUCGAGCAUCCGCUGGGGGUCUUGGUGUGUAUCCCUGUGGAUAAGGGGGCCUACUAUAAUUUCAUCCCACUGAGGUGCCAUGGCCCAGGCCAGCAGGGACAGUCACAGCUGUGGACGGAACACCACAACCACACGUGGACGGAACACAGCGGGACAUCAGGCCAGUGUCUUACAGGUGGCAGUGGUGAACAUCCAGUGAGCUGAAGUGGUGUUUACUAAUGCAGGCCUUUCCGACCAUCUGCUUCCAAAAGCUGACCAUUCCAAGUCCAGCAAUCAUAAAUAAAAUAGCAAAAUAAUAACUCACUAAAUUAAAAUUGUAAACUUUUAUAUACCAAAAAACUAUGACAAUCAAAAAUUUUAGAAGAACCAGGAAGAAAAUAUUUACAAUCUGUUUUGCAAUGGGUUAAUGUUCUUACUAGAAAAAGGGCCUUUAAAAAAUUUAAAAAGACAAUUACCCCAUAUGGGCAAAAAAUAUGAAUUCAUAAAAGGAGAAAUUCAGUUGGUCAAUAAACGCGUGAAGUGUUGAACUUCAACAAUAAUCUAAGGAAUUAGAAAUAAAACAGAAGGAUAUUAUUUUUUAUUAAAUUGGAAAAAAUACAUAAUUAUAAACCCCAGUAUUGAGGAAGGUGGGGGAACCAGGCCAUCCUAUUUGCCAGAGGGAAGAAAAGCUGCACAAGCUUUCUAAAGGAAUUUUGAUGGUAGGUAAGAAAAGAUCUAGGACUGGAAAUACCCUUUGCAUGAACAAUUCCACUUCUAGGAAUUAUCUUAAGUGAAUAAUGGCAGAGCUGCCGAGCAACAAAGAAAUUCAUAUCAGCUUCAUUAAUAUUGGCGACAAAAUUAAAAUGUCCUGGGAAAUAGGUGGGAUAAACUCUGCUUGGUCCAUAUGCUGGAACACUAUGCAGUCAGCAAAUGUGUGUUGUAAGUGGAUGUUUAAUAAAGUGACGGCCAUGAUUGUAGGAUGGAGCAGUUCAUACGAUCUCAGGUUGGAAGAUCAAAGUGUGUGUGUGCAUGCACGGGUGUGUUUGUCUGGAGAGACAGUGGCAAGAAUGAAUGUCUCUGGACCAAAAGUUGAUGAAAGAGCUUCCUUUCCUUCUUAUGUUUUUUUUUUUUUAAUUUCUAGAUUUUCUACAGAUGCCCUGUAUUACUUCUGCAAUUUGAGAACACAAAUCCAGAGGUGCCCAGUGCUUUGUAAAGAUAGUGUGGCAGGCACAUGCUGACCGACCCUCCCUCCAGAGAAGGGCAACUACUCCCAGUCCCAUCAUAAGGUGGUGCAGUGAAAAUACAGCUGCCAUCCACAUAGGAAUGCCCUCACCGCAACCCCCACUCGGUGUUAGGACUUAGGUACUUGCUGAAGUAAUACAAAAGAGUGGCCUUCAGAAUAUAUUUUUGUAUCUUCUGCAAUCUACAUUAAAGAUGCCCGUCCAUCAUUUUCAGAAGAGGCCUUUCGUGUUAGGAUAAUUCAGAAGGAUGCACCCGGAAUGUACCAGCGCGGCUCCCUGAUGGAGCUGGCGACGUCCUUUGGCAGUGAGGGCUGUGCGGUUUCAGCUCUCCUGGCUGGCCUUUACCCGCUGGGCAGUUCCCAAAUGGCGCUUCAUGAUGGGACUGGCGCUCAUCCUCACACUGUUAGUGUUAGCAUCCUCAUUUCUUCUGCCUUUUUUUCACUCCUCUCUACGUAGUUGGGGAUAUCUGUUGUUAACCAUAAACCACUUCAGCUUUGGGGAAGCAAGUGGGAAAAAACCUCAAUGAACCCCUUAGCUGUUCCCCGAACCCAAAUUGAGAAGAGGUGCUUUGACCCCGACUCACUCAGUGGAGCUAGAAAAAGCCCUUUCUUAGCUACUAGAGACGUUUUAUUCACUUUUUACCAGGAUCAAAAAUGAAAACCACGUGUCCCCCUGGCCUUGUAUGAUGAAUGACAAAUGUGUGGGACUGAGGAGAGGUCGGCCGUAGAGUAGGUCUACCCCCUAUCCUGGGGGCAUCCCUGUGUGCCAGCUUCUCCAGAACCUACAGGGAGGAAGCACCAGGCGGCACCUCCCCAGAGGCUGGAGACCAACCAGGCACAGAAUCUCUCAUUUCCUUUCAGAUUCUUCGCCAUAAUCUAAUUUUCGUUAAGCCUGUCUUCCUUUACACCCUGGGCUACAUUUGACGCAUAUUUCUGGCAAAUUCUGGGACCACCUUUGCCAGAUGACCAAAUCCUUUUCGGAGAGAUGACUGAAAUAUUUGUAAGUUUCCAUCAGCAUGGGGGGAAGGGGCUGGAGGUGAGGGGGGACCUCUCGGGCUGUGCCGUGGUAUCCUCUCUUCUCCACAUUACACCCCAAGCACGCGACUGUGAGCGGCGAUCGGGGCCUGAUCCUCAGUUCGAAGACACAGAUGCUCACUGCUGUAGAGACAUAAAGAAACCAAGAGGUUAACUGCCAGGGUUAGUCCCCUCCGCGGGCCUCCUGCAUGAAUCAGAGCCGACUGGGAGCAGGAGUGACUCAGAGCCGUGGCUUUUUGUCCUCUGGCUGUGCAAAUAAACAGAGCAGGAAGGUUUGAAUGGGCCAGGCCUGGAGCAGAGUGCAGGGUUGGAGGCGGCUCCCAGUUCCAAGGCGCGCCCCACCCGGCCCCCAGGCCAGGUCAGCCUGGGGAGGGGAGAACUAAGGGCACCAGGCAGCCCACCCGGCCCGGCCAAGACCAGCAGGACAGGGGCCCAGAGGCUGGUACCCUCCGAGGUGCGGGAGAAGAGGAGGUGGGAGGGUGCGGGGCCGUGGCUUGCUCUGUGGGGACACUGCCCUGGGGUCCACCCUGCCGCGGGGUCCACUUGGUAUAGGCACCCACCAGGCCUGCACCCUACCCUGGGAAACACCUGUGGGGCUGUCCCCUUCUCUGAGCAUCUGUGAGGGGUUUUCCUCUCCUUAGGGACCCCUGGAAGGUCCAGAGUGCAGGGUGUGUGGCCAGGCCAGGCCUGGAGAUCCGCCAGGAGCAGAGAGCUCCGGAAGGCCUGCCGGGAGGACCUGGAGGAUGCAUCUACUGCCAGGCUCGGUGGGCCUGGCCACCCGAGGGGCCUCUUCUCUCCCCCUGCAAACUGACAUAAAGGGUUUGAGAAACGAUGGCAAAGCCACACGGGGUCACUCCACUCGUUGAAAGUCCACCCAGCAAGCAUGCAAGCACUGGGCAAGCAAAAUUAUUUUCAUCCUCAGAAUGGUCCAGUGAGCUGGGUGCUUUCACCCCCAUUUCACAGCAGGGGAAACUGAGGGACCUACGUAACUCCUCAGCUGAGAGCAUAGACAGAGCUGUGGGCAGAGCCAGGAAGCAAACCCAGCCAGUCCAAUUAUCUAAAAAAUGAGAUUUUUCCCUCCAUGCCAAGUAUGGCCCCAUCCUACUGAGUCGGGUCAUUAUGUCAGGGCUCUCUGCUUUAAACGACGGCGCACAGGGACCUCCCCAUGCAGCAGGGAGUACCCCGGAGAGUGAGGGGGGCCUGGAUCCAGCCGGGCACCUGUUGGCGUUCCUACACCCCUGCAGUCUGCUCUCAGGUGCUCCUGUGUUGGGAGCAAGGCCUGAGGCGCUCGUGUCAGGAUUCCCUGCGGGAGAUCGGGUAGCUUCAGCCUGGGCACAGAAGCCUCUGGGUCCAGAAGUGAGCAGAUCAAACCCCUGCCCUACUCACGUCACCCACCUGGCGUCUCCUGGCUUUGGGUGGCCCAGCCACAUGCCUGCAGGUUGAGUCUUUGAAUUUGCAGGGCCAGGGCCAGCUGUGCCAUCUGGUCUUUUGGAACUUUUUUUUUUUUUUGCUGUGGCAUUAGACAGGCAUCCCCUAACCCAGAGAACCCUCACUACCACUGCUCAGAGGUCCCUUUUUAUACGUGGUGCCAGUGAAUACACCAAUUUAGAUGCUCUGUGUAGGUAGGAAGCAAUCCCCACAGUCUGUGCGAUGUCACCUUGUGUGGUGGAAAUGCCAUUCGCUGUGAUGAACCCUUUCCAGUCACUCCACCGUACAGUGCCCCGCCGGGGUCGGAUCGGCCCUUCUUCCUGGUCCCAUCUCCCGGGAUCUGCUGUCCCCUCUUCAGGCCCUUCUUUGUGUGGUUAGCCUGGGGUACCUUUCCCAGUCACUGAUCUGACUCCGUCGCUUAACCUGUUAAUGGAAUAGCAUGGACGAUGCACCCCACACUGCAUCUGGUGUUACUGGGACCCACUGAAUGUAGGUUCCUUUACCCCCAUUUCACCUGCUGCCAGCAGGAUGGCCAGGCCUGCCAGGCACCGCCCAGGUUCCCCAUGGCACGGGCCCUGCCUGCUCUUCUGUGAGCUGCCUCUGAGCCCUGGGCACCCUCCAUGGCGAGCUCCCCAGGCCAGGAGCAUGUCUGUCCUUUUCACCCUGUACCCAGCACUUGGAGCAGUUGCCAGUAAGAACAGGGGUGAGGAGAUGAGCAAACCCACAUGCUUGUUCUUAAAGCAUGGCACCUUCGGCCAGGCACAGUGGCUCACACCUGUAAUCCUGGCACUUUGGGAGGCUGAGGCAGGCAGAUCACGAGGUCAGGAAUUCGAGACCAGCCUGGCCAACAUGGUGAAACCCCGUCUCUGCCAAAAAUAGAAAAAUUAGCUGGGCAUGGUGGUGUGUGCCUGUAAUCCCAGCUACCUGGGAGGCUGUGGCAGGAGAAUUGCUUGAACCCGGGAGGCGGAGGUUGCAGUGAGCUGAGAUCGCGCCACUGUACUCCAGCCUGGGUGACAGAGCGAGACUCCACCAUGGAAAAAAAAAAGAAAAGCACGGCGCCUUCAUGUUCCAUGCCUUCACGCUGCUCUCCCUUGACUGGAAUCUCCCUUGUGCCCGACAGGACUACCUCCAGUGUCCCCUCCUUGGGGAGCCUCUAACCACCCUGCUGGCAUUUGUGGUGACUCCUGAGGCCUCGUAUAUCCCCUAGCGGCCUGGCAGCUGCGACGGUUUGUCUGCCUGUCACCCCGGGAGCACCUUCAGGACUGUGUCCUUGUCAUGUAUCCGGAUGCCCGGCUCAGCCCAUGCCCUGCACAAGUGGGGGUCAUGGAGGGAGCCUCUGUUUCCCCACCAAGUACACCAAGAAACUACACUGUGUCUGAUGCAAACGCAUGUUUUCUGUGCAUCUGUGAUUUACAAUUCCCUGGCUGCCUUCCAAGCAGAACGCACCUGGCAGCCUGGGGGUCUUGUGUUUGCCCCAAACAGAGGAGCCAGCCUCUUGUUUCGAGGGCCUUUUCCGUCCUCGAAGCCAGCAGCUGGAGGGAAGGAGGCUGGCUGUAACAUUGGAGGGGCCACAACCCCCGAAUUUCUUCUGCAGAAGAGAAGGGGUAGAGGUGGAGAAAGAGGGAGAGGGAGGCAGGGAGGGAGGGGGAAGCCACUGUACAGCCUAGCCUGGAGACAUCUUGGGGGAAAGUGAUUCAUCUGAUCUGGGAUGGAAGAUUAUUCUGGGGAGUAAAAUGUCCUGCCUUCAACACACACACACACACACACACACACACACACACACACACACUCCUCAGUAAAAUACCCAGUUCUCACCAGGCUUUAUGCAGUGGCUCUGGGGGCAGGGGCACAAUAAAGAGAAGUCCCAGCCAGCUCCCGGGGUGGUGUGGGCUGAGGAAGAGGCUGGGAGGAGAGAGUUGUGGCUGGGAACCCUUUGAUAAACAGGAAAGAAUAUUUUCACUUUGGCACAGGCCUGGCACGGAGGAGCUGUCAGCAAGCAGGCGUCCGAAGAUUGAGAUCACAGAGGGGUGGCCGAGGCUGGGGCACAGGCUGGAUGCAAGGCAGAUGCCACAUGGAACCCUUAGGUAUUGAGUGCCCUGAAACUAGAAACUGAAAAGGCAGUCACAUCCUCAUCAGAAAGAAAUUGAUGGUGAGUUAGGAGGCCAGGAGGGAAGCAGCCGUUCCCAGAGCUGAGGGGCAUCCCUCGAAGGCGGGAGGGAGAGAAGUGGGAGGCAAAGGCUGGGGAUGGCCGGAUGGCCCUGGGACCAGCAGAAGGAGCAGGUGGGCUGAAGAAUGUGUUGGAGCAGAGACUGUGGUCAGCGGAAGGCAUGAGAGGGGCCACCCUCCUGCAUGUAGUGAGGCUCGGGAAACGUGGAACGAAAGAAAGAUAGAAAAAAUAAAUGCAGUAUAAUGGAAGUUCCAAGGAACACUGCAGUUAGGAAGGUGGCUGGCAUUCCGGAAUUACCUCCCUGACCAGUGCAGUGCCCCACAAAGGUGGCAUCCCUCACACAUCAGCCCCGUGCCCUGGGUUCCCUCUGGGUGCACCUGCCCAGGAGGUCAGGCUUUCUGCACGUGGCUCCCAGGGGCUCUGCUGAGAAGCCCUUAGACAUCGUCUAGUACAGCCCCUGGGCCCUCUCUGGGGUGCAGACAAGCUGGUGAGCUCCAGGUCUCAAACCUGACUGCCCAAGUGCCGGGAGCCCCCCGCCCCCCAGCCUGCUCUGGUAAGCGUCGGGCUUCUGUCCAGAUGACACAGCUAAGCAGGGUUUGGAAGAACAAAAAACAAAACCCAAGCCUGCCCACUUCGGACAGGGGCAGGGUGGAGAGCCUCAGUGGGGGAUGGGGGACUGGCUAAGUCAGGCAGACUCAAGGGGUAUGGCCAGACGGAUCCCAGUCUCCUCCCAUUCCACGUCCCUACAUCAUUCUAUGGGACCACAGGAAACCAAACUGGCCCUUCUUGAGACAGAGAUGGAAGAUGCUGUUUCCCACAGUGGACACCAAGCAGUCCUGGCUGUGACUGUGUCUGUGGGACAAGCCGUGUUCCAAGGUUGGUGACUGUCCGUGAUCACCAGCUGCCACCAUGACCAGUAUCCUCUGUUGCCCACACACUCGGGCAUUGUUGGCUGGGCUCAGUGUGGUGCCAGUGUGGGCUGAUCCACAGGCAUGGUAGGGCCGGGACACAAGCCCACGGCUCAGCAAGGCUGGAGGGAGCGCUGCGUGCCGGCCGGUGCAGGGGCUUGUGUCCAUUUGAUUCUCAAGAUGGUCCAGUGAUGGAGGUGGCAUCCACCUGCAUUCUCUCGCAUUUUCUAGAGAAAGGAAGUUCAUCUCAGAGGGGUCAGUUGGCAUCGGUGUCUGGGUUGUGAGAGACAGUGUCGUCCGCACCAGCAUCAGGCAGCAGAUGGCACGGGUAGGUGCGCGGGCAGCAAAUGCUUGGCAGUUUAAGUGGUUUCCUUGCAAAGGACGAGGCUGGGGAGCACGCCACUGAGAGAAAGGCAUCGACUCCUGCAAAGCCUGCUUCCGAAGCGAGCAACGUGGACUUGUUUGCACAGAAUGGGAAAUAGGUCCAAGUGCGGUGAGGAGUACUUUAAAGAAGGGAUUUCACAAGCGGUGCUGGCACAGGCCACUGCAGCUUGUUUACUGCCACGGAGAUGGAAUUUCAUACUUUCAAAAGGAACAAUCUGGGAUCUCUCAAUAAAACUUCCAGGGCACAGGCAAGGAAAACAAAAAUAGACAAAUGGGACUACGUCGAACUUAAAAACUCCUUUGUAUCGAAGAACACAACAAUGAAAUGACAACCUGUGGAAUGGGAGAAAGUAUCGGCAAAUUAUCCAUCUGAUAGGAGAGAACUAUCCAGAAGAGAUGCAGGACUCCUAUGAUUCAACAAUAAAAAUUAGAUAGCCUGCAUAAAAGUAGGCAAAGGCCUUAAAUAGGCAUUUCUACAAAGAUGAUAUACAAAUGGCCAACAAGCACAUGAAAAGAUGCUUGACACUACCACCCAUCAGAGAAAUGCAGAUCCAACCAGAAAGAGGUACCAGCUCACACCUAUGAGGUUGCCUACUCAUGCCUGCAGUCCCAGCAUUCUGGGAGGCUGAGGCGGGAGGAUUGCUUGAGGCCAAGAGUUUGAGGCCAACCUGGGCAACCUAGUGAGAUGCCAUCUGUACAAAAAUGAAAAUAAAAAAGUAGCAGGGUGUGGCGGCCUAUGCCUAUAAUCCUAGCUACUUGAGAGGCUGAGGCAGGAGGAUCACUUGAGUCCAGGAGUUUGAGGUUACAGUGAGCUAUGCACACCACUGCACUCCAGCCUGAGCAACAGAGUGAGACUGUGUCUCAAAACAAACACAGAAAAUAAAUGUUGGUGAGGAUGUGGAGAAAUUGGAAUCAUUGGGCACUGCUGGUGGGAAUGUAAACCAGUGCUAUAGAAGACAGUACGGAGGGUCCUCAAAAAAUAAAAUGCAGAACAAACAAAACGACAAAACGUGGUGUGUACACAGACACACCAUACACCCCCCACACACACACCACACCCCAUACACACCACACCCCACACACACCAC